CUAGAGUUUUCUAGUAGACUAUGAGAUACCUCGUGUUAAAAAGUGCUUAUGUUGAUUUGCCCGAAAAUCCUUACACGCGACAAACUCUGAUUAGUCUAGUGCCAGUGUUGGUCAACUUCAGCGGCUUAUCAAGCAUUGUGACAACUUUACUUUUUACAAUGAGAAAUUCUUGUGCUGUUUAAAUAACCAGACUGUCAACAGAGCGUAGAGAAACCUGGCGUGAAUUAAAUACUUUAAGGUUCGAAUUUUAGUUAAGCCCUUCAGAUGUUGGGUAUAAUUUGUAUGCAGCAAGAAAGUGAAGCGGCAAUUGUAAAAUGCAAAAUGCAAUUCAAAAAUUCAUCUAAAAAUGCACUCGACUUAGAGUUUGUCAGUGCAGUGUUGCAGAUGACAGCAAUAAAAUGCAGGUGCUGCAUCUCAAACCGAGACAAGUGGGUUUUAUCUGUGCAAUUCAAUGGUCAAGCCCAUGCAUUGGGUACAGUUGACAACACUGUUAACUAACAGCGUCUAUGUGCAAUUUAUAUAACAUUUGCUUUGGUUGCUCGUAAAAGAAACUUUGAUUAAACUUCAAAUAAACGAAGGCUGUCGGCAAUAAACAGUC